AGAGUUUGAUCAUGGCUCAGGAUGAAUGCUGGCGGCGUGGAUAAGGCAUGCAAGUCGAACGAAGCAUCCUUUUGAAGUUAGUGCGAUUACAUCAAGCUGGCUACUGUUGGAUGCUUAGUGGCGAACGAGUUAGUAACAUCUUGGUACGUACCUCGAAGUCGAGCACAACGGGUCGAAAGAUCCGCUAAUUCUCGAUGGUCCCGCAAGGGUAAAGUCGCAAGACGCUUCGAGAGCGGCCUAGAUCCUAUCAGCUUGUUGGCGGGGUAACGGCCCACCAAGGCUAUGACGGGUAGGGGGUGUGAGAGCACGACCCUCAACGACGAAACUGAGACACGGUUCGUACACCUACGGGUGGCAGCAGUCGAGAAUAUUCGACAAUGGGCGAAAGCCUGAUCGAGCGACGCCGCGUGCGGGAAGACGGCCUUCGGGUUGUAAACCGCUUUUGCGUGGGAAGAAUUUUGACGGUACCACGAGAAUAAGGGGUUGCUAACUCUGUGCCAGCAGCAGCGGUAAUACAGAGACCCCGAGCAUUAUCCGGAAUUACUGGGCGUAAAGAGUGAGUAGCCGGUCUUGUUAGUCUGAUGUAAAACCGUGGGGCCCAACUUCACGUCUGCAUCGGAAACGGCAAGACUCGAGCGGAUGAGAGGAGAGCAGAACGUAUGGUGUAGGGGUGAAAUCCACUGAUAUCAUACGGAAUACCAAAAGCGAAGGCAGCUCUCUAGCGUCUUGCUGACGGUCAAUCACGAAAGCGUGGGGAUCAAAAAGGAUUAGAUACCCUAGUAGUCC
rnacentral:rRNA from 1 species